GUGGCCUAGUGGUUAAAGCAUCCUCCUUGGAUGUGGGAGGUGGUGGGUUCGAUCCCCGGUCAAAUCA